rfam:Triticum aestivum genome assembly, contig: Triticum_aestivum_CS42_TGACv1_scaffold_398892_5AS
GGAUGCGAUCAUACCAGCACUAAAGCACCGGAUCCCAUCAGAACUCCGAAGUUAAGCAUGCUUGGGCGAGAGUAGUACUAGGAUGGGUGACCUCCUGGGAAGUCCUCGUGUUGCAUUCC